rnacentral:lncRNA from 1 species
CUUCCAACAUGUCUGUUUUGAUAUUCUCAAUCGUUUCCUUCUACUUGUUGUUUAAUUAUGAUUGCAAUGCCUAUCAUUUUAUGGAUAUAAAAUUAACAUGGUUUCAUUUGGAGAAAAAAUGAAACCCUGCAGAAUGCACACAAGAUCUAUCAUGUUCGUGUCUUCCCACCAAUGUUGGCUGCAUUUGGUACUUUCCUUCGUUAUUUGGUAUGGUGAUGGAGAGAGAAAAUUAGAAGCCUGUGACUCAUCUUAGUCUGCCAUCAUUCAGAGAUUUUUCAUUUGCAAUUAAUUGGCCACUGGUGGGAAGCUUUGCUUUCAUUUUGAUCAGAAGCAGCUGUUCCAGGCAGAUCCUUGGAGUUCAAAGGAACUGUGUACAUAGUUAUGAAAAGCUUCCCUUUCAGACAGCCAGAGCUGAAAACAGAGGUACGGCAGUCCUGGAGAUUUAAGAUUCAAGACAGACAAACAGACAGAAAGACAGGCAGACAGACAGACAUAGAUAGAUUGAUAGAUAGAUAGAUAGAUAGACAGAUAGAUCCAUCUGCUCUAAUGGUUCCCCUUUUGUCAGGAAAAUAAAUAUUACUUUCCUCAAUGUGUUGACA